rnacentral:rRNA from 1 species
GACAGAGGGUGCAAACGUUGUUCGGAAUUACUGGGCGUAAAGCGCGUGUAGGCGGCAGGGCAUGUCGGAUGUGAAAUCCCGUGGCUCAACCACGGAAGUGCACCCGAAACUGCCCAGCUUGAGUCUCGGAGAGGAAGGCGGAAUGCUUGGUGUAGAGGUGAAGUUCGUAGAUAUCAAGCGGAACACCGGUGGCGAAGGCGGCCUUCUGGACGAUGACUGACGCUGAGACGCGAAAGCGUGGGGAGCAAACAGG